rnacentral:rRNA from 1 species
UACAGAGGGGGCAAGCGUUAUUCGGAAUUAUUGGGCGUAAAGGGCGCGUAGGCGGCUUGGCAAGUGGAUGGUGAAAUCCCUCGGCUUAACCGAGGAACUGCCGUCCAAACUGCUUCGCUUGAGACCGGGAGAGGUGAGUGGAAUUCCCAGUGUAGCGGUGAAAUGCGUAGAUAUUGGGAGGAACACCAGUGGCGAAGGCGGCUCACUGGACCGGUACUGACGCUGAGGUGCGAAAGCAUGGGGAGCGAACAGG